rnacentral:rRNA from 1 species
GACGAACGCUGGCGGCGUGCUUAACACAUGCAAGUCGAACGGUAAGGCCCUUCGGGGUACACGAGUGGCGAACGGGUGAGUAACACGUGGGUGAUCUGCCCUGCACUUCGGGAUAAGCCUGGGAAACUGGGUCUAAUACCGGAUAGGACCCUGGGAUGCAUGUCCUGGGGUGGAAAGCUUUUGCGGUGUGGGAUGGGCCCGCGGCCUAUCAGCUUGUUGGUGGGGUGAUGGCCUACCAAGGCGACGACGGGUAGCUGGCCUGAGAGGGGGACCGGCCACACUGGGACUGAGAUACGGCCCAGACUCCUACGGGAGGCAGCAGUGGGGAAUAUUGCACAAUGGGCGCAAGCCUGAUGCAGCGACGCCGCGUGAGGGAUGACGGCCUUCGGGUUGUAAACCUCUUUCAGCACCGACGAAGCGCAAGUGACGGUAGGUGCAGAAGAAGGACCGGCCAACUACGUGCCAGCCGCCGCAGUAA